GACGAACGCUGGCGGCGUGCCUAAUACAUGCAAGUCGAGCGAAUCGAUGGGAGCUUGCUCCCUGAGAUUAGCGGCGGACGGGUGAGUAACACGUGGGUAACCUGCCUGUAAGACUGGGAUAACUUCGGGAAACCGGAGCUAAUACCGGAUACUUUCUUUUCUCGCAUGAGGGAAGAUGGAAAGAUGGUUCUGCUAUCACUUACAGAUGGACCCGCGGCGCAUUAGCUAGUUGGUGAGGUAACGGCUCACCAAGGCAACGAUGCGUAGCCGACCUGAGAGGGUGAUCGACCACACUGGGACUGGGGCACGGCCCAGACUCCUACGGGAGGCAGCAGUAGGGAAUCUUCCGCACUGGACGAAAGUCUGACGGAGCAACGCCGCGUGAGCGAAGAAGGCCUUCGGGUCGUAAAGCUCUGUUGUUAGGGAAGAACAAGUGCAAGAGUAACUGCUUGCACCUUGACGGUACCUAACCAGAAAGCCACGGCUAACUACGUGCCAGCCGCCGCAGUAAAAC
rnacentral:rRNA from 1 species